CGAACACUGGCGGCAUGGAUUAGGCAUGCAAGUCGAACGAGAAAGCUCCCUUCGGGGAGUGAGUACAGUGGCGAACGGGUGAGUAACGCGUGGGAAACCUGCCCUUUUGUGGGGGAUAACAGUUCUAACGAGCUGCUAAUACCGCAUACGACCCUUGGAUCGCAUGGUCCGGGGGUGAAAGGUGGCCUCUCUUUGAAGCUGCCGCAGAAGGAUGGUCCCGCGUCCCAUUAGCUUGUUGGUGGGGUAAUGGCCUACCAAGGCGACGAUGGGUAGCCGGCCUGAGAGGGUGUCCGGCCACACUGGGACUGAGAUACGGCCCAGACUCCUACGGGAGGCAGCAGUCGAGAAGCUUCGGCAAUGGGCGAAAGCCUGACCGAGCGAUGCCGCGUGAGCGAAGAAGGCCCUAUGGGUUGUAAAGCUCUGUCAGAUUGGGAAGAAAGCUCCGGGGUUAAUACCCUCGGAGUGUGACGGUACCAUCAGAGGAAGCACCGGCUAACUCC
rnacentral:rRNA from 1 species